CAGGAGACUCACACAUGCCUCUGCCUCCCCUCUUCUCCAACUUCUCCUUCAAGUUUUCAUCAUGGUCUUGUGUGGCUAACCUUUUAUAAUUGAUAGAAGGAAAUGGAAGCCUUGGAAUCAAAAACUAGAUUGAGAAGAGAAGAAGAAGGUGUGGUUGCAAAGAUUGGAGAAGAAGAGAAGGGGAGGGAUGCUAUGGGGGCAUGGACGAACCUUUAAGGACAUUUUCGUUUUCAUUUUCUCUUCCCAUGCCAAAACGCAGUGUUUUAAUUUUUGCCAGGUCACGUUUCAUGCGCAAGGUCGCGCAGAACGCCUGCAUCCAUCAUUUUUCAAUUUUUAAUCUUUUGAACCAACAAGUAGCAGCUCACUAGGAGACACGUAGAAUGAGCAAGCAAGGCGACUCUGGUUGACCCAACUCUUAUGAUGAUAAAAGAAACAUUGUAGGUUUUGGUAGUUGGAUAAUGCAUUAUGUCAAUUUUAGUAAUUUAGAGUUCAAAAUAUAAAUAAUGGUAGCUUCAAAGUGCAAUAUAUAUACAUAUACAUAUAUUAAUUAUAAUUAACUCAUAUAAAACUUAACUAGGCUCGUAUAAAUCUACAUAAAUUCAAGUCACUUUGUAUUUCAAGUGGGAUGUACUUGUGGGAAGAUAUUCUCAAUAUUUAAUGAGAAUAUCUAAAGCAUUUAAUAAAAUAAGAGAAAAUCAUGCCCUUCAUUUUUUGAAUGGGUAAAAAUCA